rnacentral:rRNA from 1 species
UACAGAGGUCUCAAGCGUUGUUCGGAUUCAUUGGGCGUAAAGGGCGCGUAGGCGGCGGGGUAAGUCGGGUGUGAAAUCUCAGGGCUCAACCCUGAAACUGCACUCGAUACUGCUCUGCUUGAGGACUGGAGAGGAGACUGGAAUUCACGGUGUAGCAGUGAAAUGCGUAGAUAUCGUGAGGAAGACCAGUGGCGAAGGCGGGUCUCUGGACAGCUCCUGACGCUGAGGCGGCGAAGGCUAGGGAGCAAACGGGG